rnacentral:rRNA from 1 species
UUACGACCACAUCACAUAGAAACAUAGGUUUCCGUACGAUCACCGAAGUUAAGUAGUGUCGAGGCUGAUCAGUACCUAGAUGGGUGACCGCUUGGGAAUACCAGAUGCUGUAUG